rnacentral:rRNA from 1 species
GAUGAACGCUGGCGGCGCGCCUAACACAUGCAAGUCGAACGAUUAAAGCACCUUCGGGUGUGUAUAAAGUGGCGAACGGCUGAGUAACACGUGGGCAACCUGCCCCUCUCAUUGGGAUAGCCACGGGAAACCGUGGAUAAUACCGAAUACUUCGGGACUUCCGCAUGGAAGACUCGAGAAAGCUCCGGCGGAGGGGGAUGGGCCCGCGGCCUGUUAGCUUGUUGGUGGGGUAAUGGCCUACCAAGGCAAUGAUGGGUAGCUGGGUUGAGAGACCGACCAGCCAGAUUGGGACUGAGACACGGCCCAGACUCCUACGGGAGGCAGCAGUGGGGAAUCUUGCACAAUGGGCGAAAGCCUGAUGCAGCGACGCCGCGUGCGGGAUGAAGGCCUUCGGGUUGUAAACCGCUUUCGGCAGGGACGAGGCGAAAGUGACGGUACCUGCAGAAGAAGCCCCGGCUAACUACGUG